rnacentral:misc_RNA from 1 species
GAUGAAGAACGCAGCGAAAUGCGAUAAGUAAUGCGAAUUGCAGAAUUCAGUGAGUCAUCGAAUCUUUGAACGCACAUUGCGCCCUGUGGUAUUCCGCAGGGCAUGCCUGUUCGAGCGUCAUUUCAACCCUCAAGCCCCGCUUGGUGUUGGGCCCCGCCCGCUGUGGCCGGCCCUAAAGACAGUGGCGGCGCCGCCUGGCCCUCAGCGUAGUACAUCUCUCGCUCCAGGGUCCGGUGGCCGCCUGCCAGAACCCCCCCACUCUGUGGUUGACCUCGGAUCAGGUAGGGAUACCCGCUGAACUUAAGCAUAUCAAUAAGCGGAGGA